rnacentral:rRNA from 1 species
GUGCCAGCCGCCGCGGUAAUACGGAGGGUCCAAGCGUUGUCCGGAAUCACUGGGUGUAAAGGGUGCGCAGGCGGGCGUGUAAGUCAGGGGUGAAAGCCACCGGCCUAACCGGUGAACUGCCCUUGAUACUGCACGUCUUGAGUCCCGGAGAGGCUAUCGGUAUUCGUGGUGUAGCGGUGAAAUGCGUAAAUAUCACGAGGAACACCUGAUGCGUAGGCGGAUAGCUGGACGGGUACUGACGCUCAGGCACGAAAGCGUGGGGAGCGAACAGGAUUAGAUACCCUGGUAGUCCACGCCGUAAACGAUGGAUGCUCGAUGUUGCACCGCUUCAGGUUCAGUGUCCAAGCUAACGCGUUAAGCAUCCCACCUGGGGAGUACGAUCGCAAGGUUGAAACUUAAAGGAAUUGACGGGG